rnacentral:rRNA from 1 species
GACGAACGCUGGCGGCGUGCUUAACACAUGCAAGUCGAACGGAAAGGCCCUGCUUUUGUGGGGUGCUCGAUUGGCGAACGGGUGAGUAACACGUGAGUAACCUGCCCUUGACUUUGGGAUAACUUCAGGAAACUGGGGCUAAUAUCGGAUAGGAUCUCCUGCUGCAUGGUGGGGGUUGGAAAGUUUCGGCGGUUGGGGAUGGACUCGCGGCUUAUCAGCUUGUUGGUGGGGUAGUGGCUUACCAAGGCUUUGACGGGUAGCCGGCCUGAGAGGGUGACCGGCCACCUUGGGACUGAGAUACGGCGCAGACUCCUACGGGAGGCAGCAGUGGGGAAUAUUGCACAGUGGGCGGAAGCCUGAUGCAGCAACGCCGCGUGCGGGAUGACGGCCUUCGGGUUGUAAACCGCUUUCGCCUGUGACGAAGCGUGAGUGACGGUAAUGGGUAAAGAAGCACCGGCUAACUACGUG